UCAAGAAGCAACUGGAAAAUUCCCACCAAAAUGAGGAGAUUUUCUUUUUAAAGUCCUGCCACUUCUGCUUUCUUUCAUAUAUAAGGGGAAAAUUCUAGUUAUGAAAGAGAAGCUGAAGGAUGGCUGGAGAUUAUCACAGAUUUUAAUGGUGAUUUUUUAAAAAAGGUUACUAUCUUAAUUUUAUUCUGCACCAAAUAAGGACAUAUUUUCUACUGUUGUCUGCCUGUCAUAACCUUUUUUUUCUCUAAUUGUUUGGAUGGUGUGAGAUCCUCUAUAGUCUCAUAGAACCUAAGCCAGAAGCAGGAACCUUCUGCAUAACCACGAAUCCUCAGGUGAUUCCUUUUGAGAAUUCUGGGGGAUGGACAGAGGAAACGAAAGCAAAUUUCCACAACCAAAGAGGGUAAAUAUUAUAGGCAUCUGGAGCACCUUUGGAAGCUGGUGAAGGAGAUAUACCAGAGUGUGGGUGGUUUCUAGCACCUUCAUAUCAGUCCAUGUCGGCUGCUGCUAGAAGCUGGCACUGUGUUCAAAUUAUAAAUCACCCAAUAAACCACGACAAAGGAAAACAUUGGCAAGCCACCUCCAGCUGGGUGAUGAAGGCUUUAUGAAGAGAAGAUUCUUACCUGUGCUUAAGGAAUAUGGGAGCGUCUUUCAGAAAACUGGAGGGAACGCCAUCCCUGGACACAACUGGAUUUGUCUGCCAUGUGUUGGCAUGCCUGGGGGCCUUUCACCUCGGGGUUCCAUGAUUUGGGACAGAUUUCAUGGUGGGCUCUGUUGAAUAGGAAAUAUACUGUUGGAAAUAAGACAGGACAGAAGCCUUCCAGCUCCAUCAUUCUGAGCUUUUCCUAGGUUCACACUGGGUUUUUUGAGCUCCCAAAUGCUGUAUCACAGUGAACUCAUAUGGAAAGGCAAACCUUCUUAUCCUGAACUGUAUGGGUCAAAUACUUCCUUCAAGGCAGACUCAAAUGCUGGGAGGAUCCCUCCCUCCUCUCUUCCUCUCCAAUUUCGGCCUCCUGACGUCAGUGAAGCUUUUACUGGCCUAGACACUUUGGCCUUGGGCCCAGAAAGCAUCAUUGUGGACAGCCCAGACCUGAGGCUGAUGGCCCAGAUAAUUGGACAAUCUGGGCCCAGAUACCAGUUUCCAAAACCAAAGAGAUUUCUGUGUUGCGUGACCUAUCAUUUAAGCCAGACAGAAAAGCUUUGACAUUUCUUCUCCAUUCCCUCUUUUUAAACAAUGUAAAAUGCUGUUCCACAUCUAAUUGUACUGGAGAAAUGUGACAACUAUAAUUUUAGGCCUCAAAUGCCCACAAACAGUUUUGUAAAUCUUACAGACUCUAUUCAUCAAU
rnacentral:lncRNA from 1 species